CUGUAGGAAGAAUGAAUUCUCCUUAGUCCCAAAUUCCUUUUUUUUUUCUUAGAUUCGGGAAUAAGUAAAGAUACAAGAUCCUCUUAACCAGUAUCAGUAUAAUUGUUCCCUUUAGAUUUAUUGCUGUCACCCCAAUGCUCUUCUUUCUUUCUAGAGGAAAGGAAAAGAAGGAGGUAAUAGGAAAAGUAAUGGGUUGUCCUGAUGUUACUGUGUCUAGGAUGUCAUUGCCACUGGUCUCCUCAGAUCAAUCAUUCUGCCUAAUAAACAGAAAAAUAACAUGGGCAGCCUCACAUGCAAGCCUUUACACACACUGCUAAAGAGACCUCGCUUCCUCUGAGAAGUGAGGAUGUGAGAAUGAAGGAUUGAUUUUACAGAACUGGAUGACAGGUUAAAUUGGGCAUCUGGAGGUUUAUAUUCCCAUCUCCACUCACCAAGUUUCAUCCUCCAUUUAUGACCAAGGAUAGGUAUAACAUCUGAUCUUGAUGGUUACUGUUUCAAAAAACAAUCUGAUCUUUUUUAUAAAGUUAAACAUUUACUUAAUCAUGCAGCAUACUAAUUCCCACUCCUGGGUAUUUAUCCGAGUGACAUAAAAACAAGUUCACACAAAACCUGUAAACACAUAUAUGUCUUUAUUCAUAUAAUAGAAAAAACACAAACCCUAAAAUGGAAAAAACAUAAUGUCCUUCACCUGGUGAUAUGGUUUGGUUCUGUGUCCCCACCCAAAUCUCAUCUCAAAUUGUAAUACCCACGUGUUGAAGGAAGGACCUAUAACCUUCACGUGUCAAGGGAGGGAAGUGAUUGGAUGAUGGGGGCGGUUUCCCCCAUGCUGUUCUUGUGAUGGUGCAUGAAUUCUCACCAGAGAUGAUGGUUUUAAAAGUGUUUGGCAGUUCUUCCUUCAUUCACACACACUCACUGUCUCUCCCCUGUGCCACAUAAGAUGAGCUUGCUUCCCUUCUACCAUAACUGUAAGUUUCUGAAGUCCUCCCCAGCCAUGCAGAACUAUAAGUAAAUUAAACCUCUUUUCUUUAUAAAUUACCUAGUCUCAGGUAUGUCUUUAUAGCAGUGUGAAAAUAGGCUAAUACAUCUGGUGAAUCAAUAAUUAAAAUGUAGCAUAGCUAUAAAUGGAAUACUACUCAGUAAUAAAAGAAUA
rnacentral:lncRNA from 10 species